rnacentral:rRNA from 1 species
CCCUGAGACUUAAAGUCUCCUGAAGGAACGUUGAAGACGACGACGUUGAUAGGUCGGGUGUGUAAGCGCAGCGAUGCGUUGAGCUAACCGAUACUAAUGAACCGUGAGGCUUAACCUU